rnacentral:snoRNA from 1 species
GGAAAUGAUGAUAUAUAUAUUGUCGCCCCAGUCUUACUUGCAUAUGUAGAUGCAAGUUGGUGAAUGACAUUUUUAUCUGAUUC